CUGUCCUGGCGCUGCACAGGGCUGCAGUGUGGGAGGUCUCCGACAGUUUAUAUGCCUCACCAGGAUCCACUGUGCGACGUGUCCGUGUUGCGGUCUUACCACCUAUCUGGGGGUUCGAGUGGGGGUAGACCGUCAUAACCCCAGCCAGUCCGGGGUGUUUGGACGAGGUCCCUGGGUCAUGUACCUGGCUGGUCGAAACAGCAGGAAAGCGGCCGACUUCCCCGCGCCCGCCAUGCUGGUAGGCCUCACCGUGAUUUCUGGUGCCCCUUCAUUAUAUUUUCGCUUGGGUGGUGUCUGUGCGUGCACCCCAGUAUCUCCUGUUAUUUGGUGGCCUUUGUGUGCAAUUUUGAUGCUGUUUUGGUGUCUGGAAUCCUAUUUUUAUUGCCCCAGAUAGCAGGAGCUGGUGAGGCAAACACCCUCCAUCCCCCAACUUUAAAAUGUGAAAAAAC